GACGAACGCUGGCGGCGUGCCUAAUACAUGCAAGUAGAACGCUGAAGGAGGAGCUUGCUCUUCUGGAUGAGUUGCGAACGGGUGAGUAACGCGUAGGUAACCUGCCUGGUAGCGGGGGAUAACUAUUGGAAACGAUAGCUAAUACCGCAUAAGAGUAGAUGUUGCAUGACAUUUGCUUAAAAGGUGCAAUUGCAUCACUACCAGAUGGACCUGCGUUGUAUUAGCUAGUUGGUGGGGUAACGGCUCACCAAGGCGACGAUACAUAGCCGACCUGAGAGGGUGAUCGGCCACACUGGGACUGAGACACGGCCCAGACUCCUACGGGAGGCAGCAGUAGGGAAUCUUCGGCAAUGGACGGAAGUCUGACCGAGCAACGCCGCGUGAGUGAAGAAGGUUUUCGGAUCGUAAAGCUCUGUUGUAAGAGAAGAACGAGUGUGAGAGUGGAAAGUUCACACUGUGACGGUGUCUUACCAGAAAGGGACGGCUAACUACGUG
rnacentral:rRNA from 1 species